GUAGGUGAACCUGCGGAAGGAUCAUUAACACGUGCAAACGUUUAAUACACUCAACCUGUGAACUGUUCCUCCCUUUCAGUGCCUGUACCGCCUCUGCUGGUCCGUGGUGGGUGGCGCUCCUCUUCGGAGGGGCGCCACGACCAGCGGCGGCUAGGGUCUCGAGCCCGAGGUCUGCGCUGAAAGGCUGACUGCUCCCAUCACGCAUCUCCUAACCAUUGUCACCCACACCCCUUUCUGACUGAGACCCAUCGAACGAGAGAAAUCUUGAGCGAUGACUUAUCUAAACUAAGUACAACUCUUAGCAAUGGAUAUCUUGGUUCUC
rnacentral:misc_RNA from 1 species